rnacentral:rRNA from 1 species
UACGAAGGGGGCUAGCGUUGUUCGGAAUCACUGGGCGUAAAGCGCACGUAGGCGGAUUGUUAAGUCGGGGGUGAAAUCCUGAGGCUCAACCUCAGAACUGCCUUCGAUACUGGCAAUCUCGAGUCCGGAAGAGGUUGGUGGAACAGCUAGUGUAGAGGUGAAAUUCGUAGAUAUUAGCUAGAACACCGGUGGCGAAGGCGACAUCCUGGACCGGUAUUGACGCUGAGGCGCGAAAGCCAGGGGAGCAAACGGG